CCUACGGGAGGCUGCAGUGGGGAAUAUUGCACAAUGGGGGAAACCCUGAUGCAGCGACGCCGCGUGAGCGAUGAAGUAUUUCGUUAUGUAAAGCUCUAUCAGCAGGGAAGAAGAUGACGGUACCUGACUAAGAAGCCCCGGCUAACUACGUGCCAGCAGCCGCGGUAAUACGUAGGGGGCAAGCGUUAUCCGGAUUUACUGGGUGUAAAGGGAGCGUAGACGGCGGGCCAAGUCAGGGGUGAAAGGCCGCGGCUUAACUCCGGAACUGCAUUUGAAACUGUGUGGCUAGAGUGUGGGAGGGGUAGGCGGAAUUCCUAGUGUAGCGGUGAAAUGCGUAGAUAUUAGGAGGAACACCAGUGGCGAAGGCGGCUUACUGGACCGUAACUGACGUUGAGGCUCGAAAGCGUGGGGAGCAAACAGGAUUAGAUACCCGGGUAGUC
rnacentral:rRNA from 1 species